rnacentral:rRNA from 1 species
UUUAAUUGAAGAGUUUGAUCAUGGCUCAGAUUGAACGCUGGCGGCAGGCCUAACACAUGCAAGUCGAGCGGAAACGAAGAGGUGCUUGCACCUCUGGCGUCGAGCGGCGGACGGGUGAGUAAUGCUUGGGAAUAUGCCUUAUGGUGGGGGACAACAGUUGGAAACGACUGCUAAUACCGCAUGAUGUCUACGGACCAAAGUGGGGGACCUUCGGGCCUCACGCCAUAAGAUUAG